rnacentral:rRNA from 1 species
CGAAAGCCUGACGGAGCAACGCCGCGUGUGGGAAGAAGGCUCUUGGGCUGUCAACCACUUUUCUCAGGGAAGAAGUUCUGACGGUACCUGAGGAAUCAGCCUCGGCUAACUCCGUGCCAGCAGCCGCGGUAAUACGGAGGAGGCAAGCGUUAUCCGGAAUUAUUGGGCGUAAAGCGUCCGCAGGGGGCGCAUCAAGUCUGCUGUUAAAGGUCGGAGCUAAACUCCGGUAGAGCAGUGGAAACUGGUGCGCUAGAGGGCGACAGGGGUAGAGGGAAUUCCCAGUGUAGCGGUGAAAUGCGUAGAGAUUGGGAAGAACACCGGUGGCGAAAGCGCUCUACUGGGUCGCACCUGACCCUCAGGGACGAAAGCUAGGGGAGCG